UACAGGGGGUGCAAACGUUGCUCGGAAUUAUUGGGCGUAAAGCGCGCGUAGGCGGCUACUUAAGUCGGAUGUGAAAGCCCUUGGCUCAACUGAGGAAGUGCACCCGAAACUGAGUGGCUUGAGUACGAAAGAGGGUCGCGGAAUUCCCGGUGUAGAGGUGAAAUUCGCAGAUAUCAGGAGGAACACCGGUGGCGAAGGCGGGACUCUGGGCCGAUACUGACGCUGAGGAGCGAAAGCGUGGGGAGCAAACAGG
rnacentral:rRNA from 1 species